rnacentral:tRNA from 1 species
GGGUCUUUAGCUCAGUUGGUUAGAGCUAUCCGCUCAUAACGGAUCGGUCGCAGGUUCGAGCCCUGCAAGACCCACCA